CAGCGGAGGGAUCAUUACCGAGUUUACAACUCCCAAACCCCUGUGAACAUACCAAUUGUUGCCUCGGCGGAUCAGCCCGCUCCCGGUAAAACGGGACGGCCCGCCAGAGGACCCCUAAACUCUGUUUCUAUAUGUAACUUCUGAGUAAAACCAUAAAUAAAUCAAAACUUUCAACAACGGAUCUCUUGGUUCUGGCAUCGAUGAAGAACGCAGCAAAAUGCGAUAAGUAAUGUGAAUUGCAGAAUUCAGUGAAUCAUCGAAUCUUUGAACGCACAUUGCGCCCGCCAGUAUUCUGGCGGGCAUGCCUGUUCGAGCGUCAUUUCAACCCUCAAGCCCCCGGGUUUGGUGUUGGGGAUCGGCGAGCCCUUGCGGCAAGCCGGCCCCGAAAUCUAGUGGCGGUCUCGCUGCAGCUUCCAUUGCGUAGUAGUAAAACCCUCGCAACUGGUACGCGGCGCGGCCAAGCCGUUAAACCCCCAACUUCUGAAUGUUGACCUCGGAUCAGGUAGGAAUACCCG
rnacentral:rRNA from 1 species